rnacentral:rRNA from 1 species
UACGUAGGGAGCAAGCGUUGUCCGGAAUCAUUGGGCGUAAAGCGCGCGUAGGCGGCCCUGUAAGUCCGUUGUGAAAGUCAAAGGCUCAACCUUUGAAAGCCGAUGGAUACUGCAGGGCUAGAGUCCGGAAGAGGCGAGUGGAAUUCCUGGUGUAGCGGUGGAAUGCGUAGAUAUCAGGAGGAACGCCGGAGGCGAAAGCGGGUCUCUGGGCAGUAACUGACGCUGAGGAGCGAAAGCGUGGGGAGCGAACAGG